rnacentral:rRNA from 1 species
UACGUAGGCAGCGAGCGUUGUUCGGAAUUACUGGGCGUAAAGAGUGUGUAGGCGGUGCUCUAAGUUCGGUGUGAAAUCUCCUGGCUCAACUGGGAGGGUGCGCCGGAAACUGGGGUGCUGGAGCGCGGGAGAGGAAAGCGGAAUUCCUGGUGUAGCGGUGAAAUGCGUAGAUAUCAGGAGGAACACCGGCGGUGUAGACGGCUUUCUGGACCGUAGCUGACGCUGAGACACGAAAGCGUGGGUAGCAAACAGG